CCUACGGGAGGCAGCAGUGAGGAAUAUUGGUCAAUGGACGAAAGUCUGACCCAGCCAUGCCGCGUGAAGGAUGACGGCCCUAUGAGUUGUAAACUGCUUUUGUACGGGAGUAAAUCCAGACACGUGUACCGGGUUGAAUGUACCGUACGAAUAAGGAUCGGCUAACUCCGUUCCAUCCGCCGCGGUAAUACGGAGGAUUCGAGCGUUAUCCGGAUUUAUUGGGUUUAAGGGGUGCGUAGGGGGUUUGAUAAGUCAGAGGUGAAAUCCCGGGGCUCAACUCCGGAACUGCAUCUGAUACUGGCGGGCUAGAGUUUAGUUGAGGUAGGCGGAAUGCAUGGUGUAGCGGUGAAAUGCAUAGAGAUCAUACAGAACACCGAUUGCGAAGGCAGCUUACUAAACUACGACUGACGUUGAGGCACGAAAGCGUGGGGAGCAAACAGGAUUAGAUACCCCAGUAGUC
rnacentral:rRNA from 1 species